rnacentral:rRNA from 1 species
GACGAACGCUGGCGGCGUGCCUAAUACAUGCAAGUCGAACGCAGUGGGGACGGGUGAGUAACACGUGUGUACCCUCCCAUCAGAGAGGAUAACACUUGGGAACAGGUGCUAAACCCAUACUGAUGGAUGGACCCGCGGUACAUUGGCUAGUUGGUGAGGUACCGGCUCACCAAGGCAACGAUGCAUAGCGGACAGGAAAGGGAGAUCGGCCACACUGGGACUGAGACACGGCCCAGACUCCUACGGGAGGCAGCAGUAGGGAAUCGUCGGCAAUGGACGAAAGGCUGACCGAGCAACGCCGCGUGAGUGAAGAAGGUGUGCGGAUCGUAAAACUCUGUUGUUAGAGAAGCGGUAUCUAACAAGAAAGCCACGGCUAACUACGUGCCAGCAGCCGCGGUAAUUC